rnacentral:miRNA from 1 species
GUAUGGCUGAACAGGCAAGCU